GCCCGGGUGGUGUAACUGGUAGGCACGGGAGACUUAAAAUCUCCUUCCCGCAAGGGAGUGUGGGUUCGACUCCCACCCCGGGCA
rnacentral:tRNA from 1 species